ACUGGCUGAACCUCUUGUCAAAGCCUGUUGUCAUCAAUCUCAGAUGUUAAGCAGGGCUGAGCCUGGUUAGUGCUUGGAUGGGAGACCACUGGGAGUUCCAGGUGCCACAGUU
rnacentral:rRNA from 1 species